CUUCGGGUGCUGCUGUCUUCAGAGCUGUUGUUUCUCUUCGGCUGGGUUGUGCUGUGACCGCAUAGAGCAAGGCACAUGCACAAUGAAGCAGCGAGCUAGGCUCCCUGGCUGCCAGCAGCACCCACCCCACAAGGGAAUGCCAACCCCAGGAGGCUGCUUGCCCCAGCCUGCUUCUAUGGGCUUUUAAAGCAGGAAGUUCUCCCUGAUUGGUCGGUGUGUAUGCUAAUGAGACAUGCUAGGACCACUCAUCAGGGAGCUGACAUUGGAGUAGCAGUCAUCAGUUGGGUCAGUUCGUAGACCCGAGAACAUAUGAAGAUGACAUUGUAUGUGUUUUCAUGUCUCCUCAUCCCCCAGGGUUCUUGGAGAGCUAAGGCACGUAUUGUUUUCUUUCCUGUGCUUGUUCUUUGCUUUCUGGGACCCCCGGAGUCCCUAUUGCUAGUAGGCAGAAGACUGCUACAGUCUCCUGUGUGUGAGGACGUGUAACGAAUAUUAUUUAAUAGAGAUGAUAAAUGAACCCUAAAUAAAUAGUUUACAUUUUCAAAAUGACCUUCAAGAUAUUUCCUUUAUCGAAUGUGAAAUCCAAUUUGUCUUCAGUAGGACUCUGCACUGAGUUGCUGAUGGUUUCUAUUAGAAUUUUAUAAAAUAAAACCAGUCCUUUGCAUUCUUACAUGGAGAGGAGCAGAACUGUUCUUAGGUUGCUUACUGAAAUUGUCACUUAGCUACUUUAUCAAUUACUGAGAGUAACCAGGCUGCCAGGAAAUAAAAGAGUACUGUAGCACCUGCACAUUUCAUGCAGUUGAAUAAACUCAUAAUUUUCCCGCCAUUUCAAAUGUCUGAGGAGUCAUUCGGUUAUCUCUCUUCUACUGCCCUCCUCCAUCUUUGUUAGCUAUUUCUAAUGGACAUCAUAUGGAUUGUAAUAUUAUGAAUGAAAAAUUUACAAACAACAUUGUCAUACAAUGCAAAGCAAAUCCAAUUUAAGCUACCGUCCACCCACCUACUGAUUUGUGAGGCCAAUCUAAUUAUUGCAUCUAUGAAGAGUGACCAGGCAGUCUAGAAUUCAGUAUAAGUUUCAGCCAAAGUUCUAGAUACAGUAAGAAUUAGCCAAAGCAAAUACAAAAAAAAAAAAAAAAAAAAAAAAAAAAACAAACAAACAAAACUUCCAUAGACUGGAGCAGGCAUCUCAACAUAGCACAUGAUAGCAUCACACAAGAGAUGGUGCUGGUGGAAGUACAAUUCAAUGAAACCAAACCACUCCACUAAGUUACAAAUGAGCAGUCUGGUCUAGAGAUUUCUAAAGAAUUUCUGGAUCUUAGAAAGUUUACGAGACACGCAUUAUACAAACCCAUCGUAUUCACUACACACUUCACCUGGAGCUACCUUAAGCUACUCGGAAGCAUCCAAACUAUCAUAGACAGACAUGAGUAUCAGGGCAGAUACUCUGCAGAAAGACCAGAGAUACAGGGUCUGAGGCUGCAGAGCAUCUGGGUUAAGAGCCUGCAGUUGGAGAUCUACUUCCAAUCUCAUUGUUUUCACUUCCUUGGUGCGAGUCAUCCUGUACCCUUUAUAAGCUCAAUGACUCUCCCAAUUAUAAGAUGAAUGUAGUACUAGCUCACUUGCUAGAGGUUUACAGGAGGUUAAAUCAAAUAUUCUAAUAAAUUGCAUAUGACAGCACCACAUAAUGCACACUCAUAAUUGUUAUUUGUGAUCAUUAUUAACUAUGUUGACUGGGUAAUGUAAGAAAUAAGACUUUGAAAGUGACCUUAAAGCUGAUGAGCUGUAAGAAAAUACUACAAACUGUAGAUAGGCAGUAUUGUUUCUCAUUUAUUAUUUACAUGUUUAUGUUAUAUUAUUUAUUGCAGACUACCCACUUGAUGUUUUCCCUUACUGCACGGGUUCAAUUAAUGGUUAAGCAUCCACUCUGUUAAGGAAGGGAUGGGCUCCAUGUCUAAUUUGUGAUAGACAGUGACAAUCCCAAAGAGUAAUAGAGCAGCGUUUAUAUCAUGUAGGAACCUGGAGAUAAAUUAUUUGAAUAAUAUGAUAAAUGCUUUAAUUUGAUACAAAGGAGGUGGUAAGGAAGUACGGAAAGAGAGGUACUGGUUUUGCAAGGCAGCAUGGAGAACCUUCUAAGGAAAGUGGUUUGUGAAGCUGAUACUGAGGUCUGCCCAGUGAGCAGAGGAAAAGAGCACCCCUGGAAGGUGAAAUAACACACAGACAAGUGAAAAUCAAAGUCAGAAGGGCGCCAACGACUCCCAACAGCUGCAGUCUGACAUGGCUAGACAGUCAGGCGAGAACGCAGGCAGGUAGACCAGAAAGGUGAACCCGCACAGACUCCAUCUUGAAGGCCACCAGAUGAAACUACCAUUGGAGAGAAAGAGAUAAAACAGCAAAAAGACCCCUAAGAGUGCUAGCGAGAGUUGGUGGGAUGCUAGCACAACAUGGUAAGGAGGAGUGGAGAGUAAGUGGCAACUUGACACUGGCAAAUGGACAGAAUUUAGUCAUUCUUGGGACAGGACAUGGAACAGAAGUCAGAGUGUUGUCCUAUUACUAUGUACAUAUGCAUCAGAGUCACUCAAUAAAUCCACUGGGAUAGAGCAAAAAUAUAAUUUCAUUCAACAAUAUUUAAAAUCUCAUUCAUUUUAAAUUUUGAUCUUUGUUCCUUAUUAUACAUAUAACAGUAAGAGCAUCUAUUGUGAAUAAUUUAAAUAUAUUUGUGUCUGUGUACAGUAUGCUCAAAAUUUUUUUUACUAAUAAAGAUGUACAAUUAGAAAGGCUAGAGAUCAUUAUCUUAGUAAAAGCUUGUGUUUGGAUGGAGUGAAGUAUGGUACUAUUAAAGGAAACAUUUCCCAAAUGUUAAAGGUUGUAGUCUAAAACAGUCAUCUUUAACUUCUCACCGUCUCACUUCGACUGCCUGAUAUAAACAUCAAGAAAGGUUGACAGACCCUUUUCAACUUUAUCCUGGACAACUGUGGCUCAACUCUUUCUUAGUACAGAAGUGAAUUUAAACUGCAUGUGUAAUCAGUUUUUCCCCUUGCUCAAUAGUUUGGAUAGAUGACCUGUAUGUUUGGACUCCAGCUCAAAGAAUUAAACCAAUAUAAAUUAAGUGCAUCAGCAUCCAAUUUACACACACAUUUGGGAGAGAGAAACAACCUUGCUAAUGUCAACAGUAUGACUCAGUAAGUUGGGAUAAAUAGAAGUGCCGGGACUAAAGUUGGUAGGUUGAAAAGCAAAGGAUUUGGCUUAGCAUCUAAGACAAGGCAUGGGACGCCUGCAUCCCAUGUUCAAGUGCCUGGGUUCAAGUCCCAGCUUCUCUCCCAACGCCAGCCUCCUGCUAAUUGCAUCUUGGGAGGCAGUGGCAGCAGGUUGGAGCACCUGGGUCCCUAUCACCCACAUGGGAGACCUCAACUGAGUUCUGUGCUCCUAGCUCGAGCCUGGCCCAGCCCUGGCUGUCAUGGCCACGGGGGAAGUAAACCAGGAAAUGACUGAUCUCCUUCUGUUUCUUUCAAAAAAAAAAAUAGCAUACAGCUGAGGAAGCUCUGAGGGAGAAGGGUCUUGGAUAGUUUACAGAGUGGGAUUCGGAAGUGACAGAGGGACUGGCCUGAGGCGUGCAGAAGAGGGCAACAGUACCUUAGAUCUGAUUCCUCACCCCUCACUGGGGGAGUCUUCUCAGCCUUGGCUCACCUAGCAUCUGUAAGUCUUCUGACUUUCUGCUUUGAAACAAUCUGCACUUUUGACGUAGUGCAUUUUAUGAAAAAGAUGCACUUGAGGUUGUCCGAACCCUUAGGAGCUCCCAGGCUCAGCUUGCUCAUAAAAGUAAUAAAAAAUAAAAACAUGUACAAUAGAGAAAAGCUAUCAAUAGAAAAAAAUGGUGGAUGGCACUGGCAGAAAAUAAAGGAAAAGAAAUUUCAACUACACUUGAAAUAUUCAAGGAAGCAGAAAUCUACUUAGUACCCUAAGGAGAGAGUUAAGACAAUAGUCAACUGUUGAUUGAAUAUGACAAUGCAAAAAAAAAAAAAAAAAAAAACAGAGCCACUUUGUCUAAAUGAUUAUACAAAUGAAAAUUUGGAGUCCAAAUAACUGAUCCUGCAGCAGGCAUGUGGUACAGUGGGCUACGUCACUGCAUAGGAUGCCUGCAUCUCCUUUUAGGGGCUGUGGCUACAGUCCUAGCUACUCUGUUUCAGAUCCAACUUCUUACUGAUGUGUAACCUGGGAGGCAGCAGAUGAUGGAUCAAGUACUUGUGUUUAUGAAGCCCACAUGGGAGACCCAGAUGGAGUUCCAGACUCGUGGAUUCAUGCUGGCCCAGCCCUGGCUGUUGCACUCACUUGGCCAGAGAAGAUCCCGAUCUCUCUCUCUUCCUCACCCCGCAUGUUCCUCUCCUUCUACCUCUCCUUCUCCCUAUUCUUUCUCCCUUUCAAAUCAAGUAAGAUAAUCCUUGGGAAAUAUUUAAAAAAUAAACAUCAUCCAUGCAGGUGGUAGACCAAAAGUACACACGGUACCCAGCUGCUCUACGUACUUUUCCAAGGAUGUGUUCAAGUUACAGGAUCCAGAUCUAUCAGCUUCUUUCCCAGUGGAUGCUUUACCACAAACCAGACUGAGUCACGAGGACCCAAAGCAAAAUGCAGCAAAUGCGUGCACUCAGAGGAGUUCAAGGACCCCUGACUAAAUGAGCUGACAUGAGGGUUCCAGCUAUGAAUAAACACAGUUAGGCUCUCAAUGCUCACGCAAAUGAGAACAUCAUCGAGAGCUGAGGGAGGAGAAUUGUUGCUGAAAUUUCAGGAGCUUGUUGCUUCUCAGAGAGAUACACAUGGCUCUUAGGAAUCUAAGUUUGGAGAGUGAAGAAUUCAGCAACAGAUGCUCAAUACACUGCUUGGCAAAUUUUAUUUUCCACUUAAAUCUGCACCUGGGGGAAUGAAAAAAAAGGGAAAAUCAUUUUUUGAAAAGGGCAUUAGCUAUACACGACAUUGGGAAGGAGGCGUGCAGCAUGGCUGUUUAUCUUGUAGCAAAGGAGGCAGCAGAGGGUAAUCUGAGCGUUUGCAAACCACAUCCACGGGAGAUAAAUGAAGCCCUUUAACACGAGGGCAGGGGGCUGAAAAGUGCCCCAAAAAAUGCUUCCCUGGUUCCCGUACCCUCGUUCUAACUGCUGGUAGUAGCGUUGUAGCCAAGAUCUGAGGCUUAAAGAGAGUGGAACUAACUUUUUCCAAUCACAAUCACAGAGCUAUUGUCAUCCAAAGGAGUACACAAAUUCAUCAGCCUAGCACCUCUUCUGGGGCUGCUAAGGCAGCCUCCAGGAGAGCAAGAUUUCAGGGGAAGAAGGAGUUGCCUGCUCAUGUCGAAGGCUCCACUAGGAGUUGUGAUCCACUCAAAGAGGCACAUCUACAAAGGGGCGGUAGGCGGUGACAAUGAGAUAUUUCACUAUUAAAUGAAUGAACUACCUGGUUUUUACACAGAAGUUGAUCUUACCUCUUUUGUAAUAGUGACAUCAGCCAAGAAUUAAAUGUCACAUUUCCAUGAACACACAGAUUGAUUUUUAAAUUGCUGUCUGCAUGAUAUAUGAUUAGCAUUUCUUUGCUAACUUGAGAGGUACAAAUUCAGUGGCAAAAGCUGUGUCACCGCUGUGGUAACUGUCGACUCAGACUAGUGAUUUUACCCAUCCUACCUAAUACUGGGGGUCAUAUACACGGGGUGGGUGACUAUCACUGGCUCCUGGGCAAGACUUUUAUCUAAACUGCACACAUGGUGUCUGUCACCCAUCUUGACCAGAGCAGGAAAUGCUAGGGUGCCAAGGAGUAGACUGGCAGUAAAGAAAAUUCUUGCAGCGAUUCAACCACUCCCUUACUACCAGUAGACAAUAUGGAAAUGGAAUCUAGUCCUCCGGUUUACCACGCUGGCAUUCAGCAAGAUUUUCCUUAGAGUAAAUCGUCUUUUCAGUGCACUCAAUUGUACCUGGGAGAUUGAAACAGGGGCCACAGGUUCCCCAAAGCAUCUAGAGGGUGAUCGGGUCGUCGUGGAGACAUUAAAAGAAUGUGUCUCUACUGAAGAGCAACAGAACCAAGUUAUCACCAAGACUCAGUGCAACAGCAGUGUGUUUUUCCAGCACUGGGAAAAAAGGAUGACCAUUCAUUUCCUGAGAGUAUGGUAGCUGAAGCCAAUCUUCAGCAUGUGGAUCUAGAGCUAAACUAUCCAGUUCUGCUUGCUGGUACCCUUCAAAUUCAGACAAAGUUAUUUACCUUAUCUAUGACAUAAACUGUAAAAGGGACAUGAAAAAGUAGGAGUGGGUAUUUAUCGGUUAGAUGCCCAUGUCCACACUGGAGUGCCUGGUUUCAAUUUCUGGCUGCUAUUCCUGACCCCACUUGCAGAUCCUGCAAGUCGGUACUGGUGGCUCAAAUAACUGUGUUCUUGCUGUCCACGUGGGAGAGCUGGAUUUGUUUCAAGCUUCUAGCUCCAUCCCUCAUUCAUCCCCAGCCAUUGUGAGUGUUUGGGAGUGAACACGUGGAUGGGUCUGUGCUAUCUCUUUCUUUCUGCCUUGCAAAUAAAUAAUAAAAGUGCAAAUAUGGAAGAGAAACAGUUUAAGGACUUAGAGUAUAAUGCUUUAUAAGUGUUAGCUGUUAUCAUUCAUCAACAACAAUUUGCUGUCUACCAAUUACAUGUAUUCCUCGCCAAACGAGUUAGUCUUUAUGAGUUGGAUGGGUCUAUUUUCAGUUAUGAUAGCUUACCUUCUUUCACUUAAACUUCCUGAGAUUGUAAGUACUGUUUUAGAAUGUGCAUGAGUAACUGAGUAUGCCUGUUCCUGAAUUAACGUUGUAUCUGAUAAUUUGGAGGAGGUAGAAAAGUGAAGAUGGCAUUUUAUAAUCAAAUGGAAAUUUAUCUGUGUAUUUAAUAUUCUUAAACUCCUAUGAAGCCUCCAGGUAGGAGUCCCAUGGGUGGGGCAUCAUGUUGUUCAGUGAUGCUGCUGAGUGUCUCAACCAUCAGGAAGGACAGUGCCCACUGUCCUCUCCAAGUCCCCCUUUCCCACAUACCAGAUUUCACCUCUGUCUCUUCUUACAGUUAUUCUUACAUCCUUGGCCUUGAGCUUUAUUCUGUCACUGCAGUGUCAAUCAAGAUUCUUUCUGUCACAGAGGCAGAAAAUCCAGUGGAGGCAGGGUAUUUAACGACCGAGGUAUGUGUAAAAUUCAAGGCCUGCAGGUCUGAGGGCUUCUCAGUCAGCAAUGCCAGGCCUACAGCCUCCUCCUUCGGUCUGGCAGGAGGGACGCUGUGCCCGGUACUGGUAUCCACCAAAGUCCCAUUGCCUUUCAUUAACUUUUUGGAUCACAUGUCAGUUCUGAACCCAUCUCAGAGGCCAUGGGAAAAAUAUCCUGAGUCACAGAGCUGCCCCUGGAGCGAAGAGUAAAAUACGUUCCAUGCAAAAGACAAAGCACGACGCAAGGAAAAUAAAUAUAGAGGAUAUUAGUUUGUUACUGUUAGCAGAUGGAUGAAUGAACAUAAAAAACAAUACUGGCUUACUAUACUCACCCUGAAGUUCCAAACCUGCCAAAUCCACUCUCAAACAACCCAGGUCCUUUUAGUCUCUUUCGUGAAGUCUACAACCUGUCUGUGCCUUCAACACUCUCAACUGCCAAUGUCUGUUCAUACCACGCCUCCUCCUGCAUUCAUAUCUGCACCUUGUCUACAAAACGUCUUCGUUGUCUUGUGACUUUAGAGUCCCUGCCUGCUUCCCUUGUCCAUCUUACCUACAUUUUUUCCAUUACUGAAAGUUCAGCUCAAAGGCUACCUCAGAAGGAAUCAGCAAAGUCAGUAUUAUGAGUAUCCUCAUUUCACAGAUGAAGAAACUGUAUGAUGAAGAGAAUGUGAACUUAGCCAAGGUCAUAUUGUCAGUAGGUGAGCUGGUUUGACUUUACCUUAGGAAUUCUGAUUCCAGAAUUGUUUUUAACUGCAUGCUCUCGCCUACAGGAAACAUGAGGGCCACCUUAACAUCAACACCACAUACAUGAAAGCAAGUAUAGUAUAAGAAAAUGUACUAUGUUUGAAAUUUUAUUUACCCUAAUUUUCUCUACAAGAACAAGGCUGUUUCCCAUUGACAGAGUAUUUUGUUCCUGUCUUGUCUAAAAUUUGUAUAAUGCAAGAAUCAAGCAGAUUAGUGACUUUUAAAAAUUAAGACAUGGUUAAUUUUUACGAAUUUUACCAUCUCCUUUAUAGGAGCUAAAAGGUAAAAGCCACUGCAUACACAUUUGUUAACUGCUUCUUCUUUGUCACAUGUUAGUUAUCCAAAGAAAAACAAAACUCUGUCUAUAGUCUCUGGUAGUUUGCUGUCUACUAAGAAGAUGGACUUGUAAAAAAAUUCCAACAUUAUAUAUUGUCAGUCUCAAAAUUUGAAGAAGGUAUUUAGCCUUUUGUGAGACAGGAGUGGAGCAAUCCAAUAAUAAUAAAAAAAGAAAAACAAGAUUUCAAGUGCUAGUGCUGUCACAGAGGAAUGACUCAUCAUUACGACAACCUAUUCAAGAUCUAAUCCUUUUUUUCACUCAACAACUGUGUAAUCCAGGCACUGUGCCAUGUGCUGAGUAUAAAACUGUGAACACAACCGUAUAGUCCUUGCCUCCAUGACAUCCGUCGUGGGUAGGAAGGGAUCAGUGAAAACACAGCUGCAUACAUCUAUCACUGGACACACUGUGACAGUUGCUAGGAAGCAGGGAGAGCAAGGGCUGUGACAGAGAAGAGCAGAGGGCACACACGUGUGCGGGGGUUAUCUGUGCGAUGAGGCAUCCGUUCAACCUGAAACCUGAAGAAGGAAAGGAAGAGAGACAGAGGGAGCCUUCGCCGAGGCGGGAUGAAGAAGCAGAGAGGAGGUGCCGAUGUCCAGGACUUGCAAUGGUCAAGCAGAGUCAGAGUCCGGUGGGUGCCGACGGUGAGGCUGGAGAGGCAGGGAGCACCAGGAACACCUGGCCUUGCGGCCGUGAGAUGUGGCAUUGAUUCUGAGCAGAACGGGAGACCACUGACGGUUUCAAACAGAGGCUGAGGAGCAGCUGGAGAAACAGAUGCUAUCUGUACUGGGAGGGUUCCAUUGUGCGUCUUGACAUUUCCUGAAGUCUGCGCACCAGUGGUCUGCAGCGAUCCCACCUCCACGUCCUCCCCGCCCCCCAUGGAAAAGCAGUCCUCAGCCUUCCUCCCACACUGCGCCUCUCCCGGAUCCUCUCCCUCUGCCUGGAGGAGCAGACACGGGAAACCCACACUUCAGCACUAUUCUGCGCCUGAAACCAGACAUUGUUUGCACAAAGGACUGAUAAUCCUUUCCCACUUCCCUGGUUCUGGAGAUAAACACUUGUGGAUUUAUG